rnacentral:lncRNA from 1 species
UUAUAUUCCUUUCGUCCUUGUAAUUCUUUCCUGUGUUGGAAAUUCUUAUCUGGUAUUCUGUUGUCAUUUAUCUCUAUUCUUCCGGCGCGUUGAAGAUAUCCCAGUAGUUUCUUGGUCUCAGAUCUUUCUUUAUUUCGAGGUGCCAACCUCAUCUAGUUCUCGUUCUACCGGUGCAAUAUCUUUCCUUAUAAUCAGUUGUUUCAACGGUGGUUUCUUUGAGUGGGCCCAUAACCCACAGGUUCUUUCCCAGGAUCUUACCUGGCUUUUGUAAUCAUCUCCGGAGAUCAUUAAUUCUUUUCAACUAUGACGUAAGUAUGUUUUUCAUCAGUCAUAUCCCUUCUCCAAGAUCUAUUGG